rnacentral:lncRNA from 1 species
AUAUUCCUCAUCUGCAGGUAGAAAUCCCCCUAAAGAAGCCUUUUUGGAAGCUUUUUGACAGAUAUGGUCUCUGAAGUAUCUGUUCAGCUUCAUAGUGAUAGUCUCAAUUACUUCAAGCCAUCAUAAGAGGCCUCUUUCCAUUCUAAAGCAUAUUUUCUGAGUGGAAGCAGCAGUGGUACCAGAACAGAAACAGAGGUUUGUGAACAAACCCUUCCAUCAAACCCAGAGGGAAGGAAGAAAGCAGAGGAAGCUCAUGAACAUAUAACCGUAUCCUCAUGUCAGAGCCAAGGAAGGAACAUCCACUCCCUUCCUUAAAGAUGCUCUCAGUUUAAAACUAGCAAACGCAGAUAAAAACAUAAGGAAAUGGAACAUGUUGAGGGUCAGUAAACUGAAGGAUAAUCCAAAGAGUG